CCAAUAGCGUAUAUUAAAGUUGUUGCAGUUAAAAAGCUCGUAGUUGAAUUUCGGAAUCAGUAUGUCGGUCGUGCCUCCGGUAUGUACUGGCGUCACUGGUUCCUCCCUUCUGACGAACCAUCAUGCUAUUAAUUUAGUGUGGUGGGAAAUCAGGACUGUUACUUUGAAAAAAUUAGAGUGUUUAAAGCAGGCUCACGCUUGAAUACAUUAGCAUGGAAUAAUGAAAUAGGACGUUGAUCCUAUUUUGUUGGUUUCUAGGAUUGACGUAAUGAUUAAUAGGGAUAGUUGGGGGCAUUAGUAUUCAAUUGUCAGAGGUGAAAUUCUUGGAUUUAUUGAAGACUAACUACUGCGAAAGCAUUUGCCAAGGAUGUUUUCAUUAAUCAAGAACGAAAGUUAGGGGAUCGAAGACGAUCAGAUACCGUCGUAGUCUUAACCAUAAACUAGGCCGACUAGGGAUCGGAUGAUGUUAAUUUUUUAAUGACUCAUUCGGCGCCUUAC
rnacentral:rRNA from 1 species